rnacentral:lncRNA from 1 species
GGAGUCUUCUUAUGAAAGAAACACGUCUCCCAAGGCUUUGGCUGCCAUAGGUAGUGAUUCCCGUGGUGACCUGGGCAAAGUCGUCUGAAAAUAUCUGGGAGAGGAUCGCCCCUCUAGCUGCCGUCAGAGCAGGUGUGACUCAUGGAAGAGGUUAAAAUAUCCACUUUAGUGGGAGUUUGGAAGAAACAGAUCCAGAUCGUCCUGGAUGACUUUGAAGGGUUCAAGACGUCAGUGGAGGAAGCAGCUGCAGAUGUGGAGCAAAUAGCAAGAGAACCAGAAAUAGAAGCCUGCAAACGUGACUGAACUGCUGCCAUCUCGUGAUAAAGCCUUAGCAGAUGAGGAGCUGCCUUUUAUGAAUGAGCAAAGGAAGUGGUUUCUUGAGAUGGAAUCAGCUCUGGUGAAGAUGCUGUGAAGAUGGUUGAAAUGACAACAACGGACUUAGACUACUCCAUAAACUGAGCUAAGCAGCGUGGGGCUUGAGAGGCUGAGUCCGACUUUGAAAGAAGUUCUAAUGUGGGGAAAAUGCAAUCAGCAUUGCAUGCUACAGAGAAAUCGUGCAUGACAGGAAGAGUUAAUCGAUUUGGUAGCCUUCGUCGUGGUCUUAUUUUAAGAAAUUGCCACAGCCAGCCCAGCCUUCAGCAGCCCCCACCCUGAUCCAUCAGCAGCAUCAAUGUGCAGGCAGGACCCUCCACCAGCAAAAAGACUGUGACUCACUAAAGCCUCAGAUGAUUGUUCAACCUCUUUAGCAAGAAAAUAUUUUUUAAAAUUAAGGUAUGUACGUGUUUUGUUUUUGUCUUUUGUCUUUUUAGGGCCACACCUGUAGCAUAUGGAAGUACCCAGGCUAGGGGUCGAAUUGGAGCUGCACCUGCUGGCCUACUCCCCCGGCACAGCAACGCCAGAUCCGAGCUGCGUUGGCAGCCUGUUCUGCAGCUCGACAGCAACAUGCAGGGAUUGAACCCGCAUCGUCAUGGAUACUAGUCGGGUUCGUUACUACCGAGCCACAAUGGGAACUCCGGUAUGUACAUGUUUUUAAACAUGUAAUGGUAUUUCGCACUUAAGAGAGACUACAGGAUGGUGUAAACACAAUUUUUAAAUGCACUGGGAAACCAAGACAUUCCCGUGGCCUGCUUUAUUGUGGGGGGCUGGAACCAAACCCACAAUAUCGUCGAGGUAGAACUGGACACGAGGCAGGAUUGUUGUUUUUAUUGUUGUGGGUUAAAAGACUUAUCCUGAUAAAUAAUUAAUUUCUGCCCUUUAGGCGGUACCUCACCCCUUUCUCAGAAGUUCAGGGAAUUUGGAGGGGAGCCCGCUGAGCAGGAUGCUGGUUGCUUCCUGGGAAGUCUUUGGCCUUGUAAGGAGCCGUGUGCCAGGCACCAUCUGUGGAGAUGAUUCUGUCAACGUGGUGUCCCGUCUGGGCAGCACGAGGAUGAGCCAAAAGCACAGGAUCCCCGUAGACCAGGCUUCUGCCCUGGGAUGUUUCAUGGAAUUUCCUCAGGUCAAGAGAUGCUAUUGGGAAGAUCCUUUCUGACCCUCGAUAACUGUGAGACGCUUCAGACAAAAUCAGCUGGUCUCUGUUGGCUGAUUUAGAGCAAGUAAACUAAGCUCUGAGCUUCAGCUUCCUCCUCCCAAAAAUGGCGUUGAUGAUAUAUACUAUACGUAUCAUAGGGCGGUUUGAGAGUUGAAAGAAACAAAGCAUGAAAAUAGCGCAAUGCCUACCAUAUAUUAAGCCUUCAGUAACUGACAAGCAUUCUUUAUAUUUUUAACAAAGAUAAACUAUGGAUCAGCCCUUGGUUGGUUGGCGAAAUUCUUGUUCUUUCCAGAAGCACUCAAGCUGGGAAUAAUAAGUUAUUUCAUUAGGGAUGUGUCAGAUUUGCUGUUGGGAAAAAGCUUUAGAACACGGUACCGUGAACACACCCAAAGAAGCAAAGCAAACAAAAUAUCGUUAUCACAUCCAUAACCACCCCUGGAAGGCUUUUCCUCAUAGGCAUACCUCCAAUAUUAGUUGAAUUGAGGAGACAUCGGUGCUGGAAGAAGAUCACUGUUGGCAGUGAGUAAAUGCCUUCUAUAAUUUAUCUCACCUUUCAUUGCCUUUUUUUUCCUAGAGAAUAGCUUUAGAAGAUCCUUCUUUUUUGAAUAUUGCAAAGAAUUUUAAUUCAUAAUGAAAGUAUUAAGCGAAAUAAUAAUAAAACAAUUUUUAAAUAAAACAUUUAAAACAAUUUAAAAACACAGCAGGGCAUAAAAGAGCAUUGCAAUGUUUGUAUAAAUACACACAUUGUAAACUUCGCAGCUUCGGGAAGCCACACUUUUACAUUCUGGAGCUGUGCACUUACAGGCAAAUAAAAGAAGGCAAAGGAACAAAUUCUUACAUAGAGUUACAGCCUGGACAGCUACUUCCCUAGAGUUUUAUCACCAAAGAGAAAAUAAGUAAUUUUUACAAAGUUGAAAAAAUAGAAACAAUUCUUUGCUUUUCAAAGUAUCCAAGAAUUAUAGCUUCUUACGUAAUUACAGCUUCCUAAUUACAGCUUCAGGAAGUUUUUUUUCCUUUGAAGUUCAGUUUCAGUGUGCACCCUAAAACUGUAAACAGAGAUACAGAUGAAACAGUACAAAUCCACAGUCCUCAUCAGUGUACUUGGCUACAAGAAUCAAUUAGGUGCUCAGAGCUGGGGUGGGGAUGGUGUCAGCUGCUGUGUGUUGCGUUUGCUGCGUGUCCCAGGCUGCCGGUAGUGGCCUUCUCUUUACUAGCGGUUCUUGGACUUUCAAGGAAGGUGUGUACUAUGUUCUGCCGUGAAUUUAUAGCCCAUGGAUGAAACCCGGGUCCUAAUUUCGAAGCACUGUUAUUCCUGUUGGUGCGAUGACAGCAUUUGUGGUGCCCUCGGCUCCGUGGCACACGGGGCUCCGCGCUGCAGCCACUGGGACAAACUAGGAAAGACCUUUGUCCUAUAAGCUGUAUUUUCUGGUUGAAAGAGUGGGACAUCUGUAAGUUCAAGACUGACCUGAGGACAAAACGAUUUUCGUCGUGGUCUGGCUGUAGGGAAGGGUGUAAAAUUUACCCAAGUUUCGGAUCAGCCCCUUCCUGCUGGAGCCCAGCCCUCACUGUUGCGCUCAAACUUGAACGUGUGUUUGAGUCACCGAGGGAGCUUGUUAAAAUACGUAUUCUUGUUUCUUGGGUCUGGGGGGCCAAGAUGCUCAGCGGCUGGCAAGGUUUCGGGGGGAAGGCAGCUCUGUCGGCCCACAGAGCGCAGCCAGAAACAAGUGUCGGGAGCCGAGGUUGCCAGAGUCCCCUGGGAACUUCCUUCAGUCUCCUUUGCAGAUGGCAGAUCGCCCGCCCACGCGAGGCUCUGGGGCUUUUCCCCUGCGCCCAGACUCCCGGCCCACAGUCAGUGGGGUCAGGAGAGCCCCGCCCGCUUGCAGUGGGACCGCUGCUCGCCCCGCUCGGGGCGGGGAGGACGGUGAGAGCAAGGAUGAAAGACAGGAGUACACGUGUCACCGGAAUCGUGCCGCCCCGCGCGUGUUCCGAGUGUCCCUCCAAGUCACAUGAUAGACCAAGGUUCUGGGGUUUCCCGAGGACUUUCGAAAGGCAGCUUGAGAGAAAGUGCCUCUGUCCGAGUUCUCCUGGUUGGGCCAUCAGUUCUACUGUGACAGUGUCUGUCUUCCUGGCACCUGGCACUAGGCCGUACAGUCCAGGAGGUAAACAUUAUAAUGUGUGUCAGCCACUAAGAAAGAAGAGACAAGGGCAGAUAAUUUCCUGUAUUUUAUUUUAUUUUGUGUCUUUGCCAUUUCUUGGGCUGCUCCCGCGGCAUAUGGAGGUUCCCAGGCUAGGGUUCAAGUCGGAGCUGUAGCCACUGGCCUACACCACAGCCACAGCCACAGCAACGCGGGAUCCGAGCCGCGUCUGCCGCCUACACCACAGCUCACGGCAACGCCAGAUCCUUAACCCACUGAGCGAGGCCAGGGAUCGAACCCGCCACCUCAUGGUUCCUAGUCGGAUUCGUUAACCACUGCGCCACGACGGGAACUCCACUGCUUUUAAAUAUUUGACCAUAUCCUUCCCGUUUGGUGCUGCUGUUGAACCACUUGCAAGGAGAAGCCAUUGUGACACUCCAGCCCAAACGUUCAGUGCGUGUCAUUUGAGGACUCUCCACAGUGACUCUGACGGCAGCAUCCUCAAGACAUUUAAUAUAUAUGACCAUGCAAACUCUCCCUCUUGAAAUAAAAAUGCCUUUUACAGCUCUCCAUAUUGACAGGUUUUAUUUUUUAAAUUAUUUUUAAAAAUUGAAGUAUAGGUUAUUUACAAUAUUAUAUUAGUUUCAGGUGUAUAGCAUAGCGAGUCCAUAUUUUUAUAGAUUAUCCUCCAUUUAAAGUCGUAAGGAUAGAUUUUGUCAUUCAGACGCUACUAAAAUAUCACUAAGCCGUCUCAGUCAAUAAUUCUUAAAGUGUUGUAUUUCUUCCUUUGGUGGAGUGGAGUUAAAACCUUUGUGCUUUUUUCCCCCAAAAUUUAUCAAAAAAAAAAAAAAAAAAANAUUUCUUACGUUGAGCCAACCCAUGGAAAGCAGGAAAUUAUAUGCGUGGAGUACUGGGCAGUUAACGUGUGGUCAUCGUCUUCCGUGUUAGUAGCUUCUGCUUUUACCCAAAGGUACUGCAACUAUGUGAGCAUAUGACGGAUGAGAUCAGAUGAGAUGGAUGCCUGUCUUUUCUAAGCAGAGCUUUCUUUAGGAUUGAUUCCUGCCGCUCUCCUAGCUACACGGGAAGUAUUUUUAAGGAUAUGCCACCGUGACUUUUCAGCAGUUUCUUUUAGCCUGCUUGAUGAUCUUUUAAUGGAAGUAAAGCUAUAUGUAAACAUAUAAUCUUAGAAAUUGAGGUUUUUCUUUUUUUCAUUCUCAUUAGGAAAAUUUUUUUUUCUUUUUUUUCUUUUUGUCUUUUUAGGGCCACAUCCGCGGCACAUGCAGGUUCCCAGGCUAGGAGUCCAGAAGGAGCUACAGCUGCCGGCUUACACCACAGCCACAGCAAUGCGGGAUCCUUAACCCACUGAGUGAGGCCAGGGAUGGAACCUGAGUCCUCAUGGAUCCUAGUCGGGUCUUAACCACUGGGCUACGGCGGGAACUCCCCCUCCGGAAGUACUAUGGGCUGAUAAAACGUGUUGUGGCCUACCAAGCGUCUUCUUUGGGAACACGCAUCUGAACCAGCCCUUCCCCACCACGGCUCUCAAAUCCUGCCCCUGUGGCUUUGGGGUGCGUCGUCUGUCAUUCUUGGUGGGAUGGGGAACGCGUGACAACAACCUCCCGGGCUCGGGCUCGUUAGGAUUGGAUGAGAGGAGGCGGACGGCAUGCUCAGCGCAGGGCCUGGAGUGUACUCAUCCCUCAGCGGAUGGGAGCCCAGACUUUAAUAAGAACCGCUCUUGUCGCUGCCACGACUGUGACCUCGGUUCCGCGUUCGGGCCAAAGAGGUCGCCUGUACGCAGACGGUGAGGGGCUGAGGCGGCCAGCGCGGUGGGCGGAGGAGCGCGACCCGGGUGGCUCAGGAUGGGACCGGCGUCCCGUUCCCAUCCGGCGGUGCCACGUGCCUGCUGUAGGACACUGGCAAGUCGGUUCGCUCACCUUCACGUCGGGGCGACGAGCGGGGGCGACGAGCGGUGCCUGCCUCACUGGGGGUGUCGUGGGUGAAAUGAGACGAGGAUGCAAAACGCUUUGCCCAACGCCUGGCCCGGAGUCGGGUUUCGGUACAUUUCCGCCAAGAUAAAGGUGGUGUCCGGAGCCUCUGAGCAGGUGAAUUUCCUAGUGAGACCGAAUCUUCUGAACGGCUCCUCCAAGCAGGGCUUCUGGUUUCGUCCAGGGCCGGUCUCCCGGUCUGAUGCCGGGAUCUCCUGCCCUGACGCGGCCGCCGGCUCCCCUCACCUGUCCCUGGUCUCUGCGCCGCCGCCGCAGUUAGGUGGCCGCAUCCGGGUAGUUUUCUUACCUGUUUGUUGCAGAUAGAGUCCCCAUUGAUCCUUUUCAUAGGUUUAAGUUCCUUUCUCAAUAAUUGUUCCUAUGGUUUGUCCUGUUUUUAUCAGGUUUUAAGAUUACAGUUAUGCUAACUCCCUAAAAUGAAUCAGGGAGUUGGCAGCUUUUUCUGUGGCUCCGAAGAACACAAAUAACAUAAAUAUCACCUGUUUUGACAGAUUAAAUAGAACCCAAUUACAGAACUAUCUGGUCUUGGUACAUGCUUCUGUGGCGUAUCUUCUUUUCUUUAUGGGAGACUUUUCAUUCUCUCUCCAGUCUAGCAGUUUGUAAUUAUGGGUCUCUUCAGGGUUUUUUUGUUUUGUUUUUUUACCUUUUCUUAGGACAACUUUGAUACCUUCUAUUUUC